rnacentral:rRNA from 1 species
AGAAUCAACGCUGGCGGCGUGCCUAACACAUGCAAGUCGCACGAGAAAGGGUAGCAAUACCUGAGUACAGUGGCGAACGGGUGAGUAACACGUGAGCAACCUGCCCUUAGCUCCGGGAUAGCUCCGGGAAACCGGAAUUAAUACCGGAUACGACCACGGCCGACAUCUGCUGUGGUGGAAAGGAUUCCGGCUAAGGAUGGGCUCGCGGCCUAUCAGCUAGUUGGUGGGGUAAUGGCCCACCAAGGCGACGACGGGUA